CACCAGCGUCACAAGUGGCAACCACAUUUAUUGGGUCUAAAGCGUCCGUAGCCUGUCUUAUCAGUUCUUUGUGAAAUCGUUAAUGUCAACUUAAUGGCGUGCAAAGGAUACUGGUUUGACUUGGGACUGGGAGAGGUAAGAGGUAUUCUAGGGGAAGCGGUAAAAUGCUAUAAUCCCUGGAGGACCACCAAUGGCGAAGGCAUCUUACCAGAACAGGUCCGACGGUGAGGGACGAAAGCUAGGGGAUCAAACCGGAUUAGAUACUCGAGUAGUCCUAGCUGUAAACUCUGCAAGUUAGGCGUUGCAUAAUCUACAAGAUUACGCAGUGUCGUAGCGAAGGCGUUAAGCUUGCCACCUGGGAAGUACGGCCGCAAGACUGAAACUUAAAGGAAUUGGCGGGGGAGCACCACAAGGGGUGCUACGUGCGGUUUAAUUUGAUUCUACACGGGAAAUCUCACUAGAAGCGACGGCAGGAUGAAAGUCAGGCUGAAGACCUUGCUUGACAAGCCGAGAGGAAUUGCAUGGCCGUCAUCAGCUCGUGCCGUAUAACCUUUUAGGAAAAGGUUAAUCAAAAAUGAUACCUCACCUAGAGGUUCGGUAUAGGUGUCCUGUUAAGUCAGGCAGCGAGCGAGACCUGCAUCCACAAUUGCAAACAGAUCCUCCGGGAUGACUGUGCACAUUGUGGGGACUGCCUUGGAAACGAGGAGGAAGGCGCAGGCCAUGAUAGGUCAGUAUGGUCCUAAUCUUCUAGGCUACACGCGCGUUGCAAUGAUAGAGACAAUGGGAUACAACUCCGAAAGGAGAAGUUAAGCCUCUAAACUCUAUCCUAAUUUAGAUCGAGCCCUGUAACUCGGGCUCGUGACACCGGAAUCCCUAGUAAUCGGACGUCAACAGCGUCCGGUGAAUAUGUCCCUGCUCCU
rnacentral:rRNA from 1 species